ACACAUGCAAGUCGAGCGGUAGCACAGAGAGCUUGCUCUCGGGUGACGAGCGGCGGACGGGUGAGUAAUGUCUGGGAAACUGCCUGAUGGAGGGGGAUAACUACUGGAAACGGUAGCUAAUACCGCAUAACGUCGCAAGACCAAAGUGGGGGACCUUCGGGCCUCAUGCCAUCAGAUGUGCCCAGAUGGGAUUAGCUAGUAGGUGGGGUAACGGCUCACCUAGGCGACGAUCCCUAGCUGGUCUGAGAGGAUGACCAGCCACACUGGAACUGAGACACGGUCCAGACUCCUACGGGAGGCAGCAGUGGGGAAUAUUGCACAAUGGGCGCAAGCCUGAUGCAGCCAUGCCGCGUGUGUGAAGAAGGCCUUCGGGUUGUAAAGCACUUUCAGCGGGGAGGAAGGCGGUAAGGUUAAUAACCUUGUCGAUUGACGUUACCCGCAGAAGAAGCACCGGCUAACUCCGUGCCAGCAGCCGCGGUAAUACGGAGGGUGCAAGCGUUAAUCGGAAUUACUGGGCGUAAAGCGCACGCAGGCGGUCUGUCAAGUCGGAUGUGAAAUCCCCGGGCUCAACCUGGGAACUGCAUUCGAAACUGGCAGGCUAGAGUCUUGUAGAGGGGGGUAGAAUUCCAGGUGUAGCGGUGAAAUGCGUAGAGAUCUGGAGGAAUACCGGUGGCGAAGGCGGCCCCCUGGACAAAGACUGACGCUCAGGUGCGAAAGCGUGGGGAGCAAACAGGAUUAGAUACCCUGGUAGUCCACGCCGUAAACGAUGUCGAUUUGGAGGUUGUGCCCUUGAGGCGUGGCUUCCGGAGCUAACGCGUUAAAUCGACCGCCUGGGGAGUACGGCCGCAAGGUUAAAACUCAAAUGAAUUGACGGGGGCCCGCACAAGCGGUGGAGCAUGUGGUUUAAUUCGAUGCAACGCGAAGAACCUUACCUGGUCUUGACAUCCACAGAACUUAGCAGAGAUGCUUUGGUGCCUUCGGGAACUGUGAGACAGGUGCUGCAUGGCUGUCGUCAGCUCGUGUUGUGAAAUGUUGGGUUAAGUCCCGCAACGAGCGCAACCCUUAUCCUUUGUUGCCAGCGGUCCGGCCGGGAACUCAAAGGAGACUGCCAGUGAUAAACUGGAGGAAGGUGGGGAUGACGUCAAGUCAUCAUGGCCCUUACGACCAGGGCUACACACGUGCUACAAUGGCAUAUACAAAGAGAAGCGACCUCGCGAGAGCAAGCGGACCUCAUAAAGUAUGUCGUAGUCCGGAUUGGAGUCUGCAACUCGACUCCAUGAAGUCGGAAUCGCUAGUAAUCGUAGAUCAGAAUGCUACGGUGAAUACGUUCCCGGGCCUUGUACACACCGCCCGUCACACCAUGGGAGUGGGUUGCAAAAGAAGUAGGUAGCUUAACCUUCGGGAGGGCGCU
rnacentral:rRNA from 1 species